rnacentral:rRNA from 1 species
UACGUAGGGUGCAAGCGUUGUCCGGAAUUAUUGGGCGUAAAGAGCUUGUAGGCGGUUUGUCGCGUUGUCCGUGAAAACUCACAACUCAAUUGUGGGCGUGCGGGCGAUACGGGCAGACUGGAGUACUGCAGGGGAGACUGGAAUUCCUGGUGUAGCGGUGGAAUGCGCAGAUAUCAGGAGGAACACCGGUGGCGAAGGCGGGUCUCUGGGCAGUAACUGACGCUGAGGAGCGAAAGCGUGGGGAGCGAACAGG